AUGCUGGAGGUAUCAGAAGUGCGAAUGCUGACAUAAGUAACGAUAAAGCGGGUGAAAAGCCCGCUCGCCGGAAGACCAAGGGUUCCUGUCCAACGUUAAUCGGGGCAGGGUGAGUCGACCCCUAAGGCGAGGCCGAAAGGCGUAGUCGAUGGGAAACAGGUUAAUAUUCCUGUACUUGGUGUUACUGCGAAGGGGGGACGGAGAAGGCUAUGUUGGCCGGGCGACGGUUGUCCCGGUUUAAGCGUGUAGGCUGGUUUUCCAGGCAAAUCCGGAAAAUCAAGGCUGAGGCGUGAUGACGAGGCACUACGGUGCUGAAGCAACAAAUGCCCUGCUUCCAGGAAAAGCCUCUAAGCAUCAGGUAACAUCAAAUCGUACCCCAAACCGACACAGGUGGUCAGGUAGAGAAUACCAAGGCGCUUGAGAGAACUCGGGUGAAGGAACUAGGCAAAAUGGUGCCGUAACUUCGGGAGAAGGCACGCUGAUAUGUAGGUGAAGUCCCUCGCGGAUGGAGCUGAAAUCAGUCGAAGAUACCAGCUGGCUGCAACUGUUUAUUAAAAACACAGCACUGUGCAAACACGAAAGUGGACGUAUACGGUGUGACGCCUGCCCGGUGCCGGAAGGUUAAUUGAUGGGGUCAGCGCAAGCGAAGCUCUUGAUCGAAGCCCCGGUAAACGGCGGCCGUAACUAUAACGGUCCUAAGGUAGCGAAAUUCCUUGUCGGGUAAGUUCCGACCUGCACGAAUGGCGUAAUGAUGGCCAGGCUGUCUCCACCCGAGACUCAGUGAAAUUGAACUCGCUGUGAAGAUGCAGUGUACCCGCGGCAAGACGGAAAGACCCCGUGAACCUUUACUAUAGCUUGACACUGAACAUUGAGCCUUGAUGUGUAGGAUAGGUGGGAGGCUUUGAAGUGUGGACGCCAGUCUGCAUGGAGCCGACCUUGAAAUACCACCCUUUAAUGUUUGAUGUUCUAACGUUGACCCGUAAUCCGGGUUGCGGACAGUGUCUGGUGGGUAGUUUGACUGGGGCGGUCUCCUCCUAAAGAGUAACGGAGGAGCACGAAGGUUGGCUAAUCCUGGUCGGACAUCAGGAGGUUAGUGCAAUGGCAUAAGCCAGCUUGACUGCGAGCGUGACGGCGCGAGCAGGUGCGAAAGCAGGUCAUAGUGAUCCGGUGGUUCUGAAUGGAAGGGCCAUCGCUCAACGGAUAAAAGGUACUCCGGGGAUAACAGGCUGAUACCGCCCAAGAGUUCAUAUCGACGGCGGUGUUUGGCACCUCGAUGUCGGCUCAUCACAUCCUGGGGCUGAAGUAGGUCCCAAGGGUAUGGCUGUUCGCCAUUUAAAGUGGUACGCGAGCUGGGUUUAGAACGUCGUGAGACAGUUCGGUCCCUAUCUGCCGUGGGCGCUGGAGAACUGAGGGGGGCUGCUCCUAGUACGAGAGGACCGGAGUGGACGCAUCACUGGUGUUCGGGUUGUCAUGCCAAUGGCACUGCCCGGUAGCUAAAUGCGGAAGAGAUAAGUGCUGAAAGCAUCUAAGCACGAAACUUGCCCCGAGAUGAGUUCUCCCUGACUCCUUGAGAGUCCUGAAGGAACGUUGAAGACGACGACGUUGAUAGGCCGGAUGUGUAAGCGCAGCGAUGCGUUGAGCUAACCGGUACUAAUGAACCGUGAGGCUUAACCUUACAACGCCGAAGGUGUUU
rnacentral:rRNA from 1 species